CAGCAGCCGCGGUAAUACGUAGGUGGCAAGCCUUUUCCGGAGUUAAUGGGCGUAGAGAGGUCGCAGAGCGGUUUCUUAAGUCUGAUGUGAAAGCCCCCGGCUCAACCCGGGGAGGGUCAUUGGAAACUGGGGAACUUGAGUGCAGAAGAGGAGAGUGGAAUUCCACCUGUAGCGGUGAAAUGCGUAGAGAUGUGGAGGGACACCAGUGGCGAAGGCGACUCUCUGGUCUGUAACUGACGCUGAGGAGCGAAAGCGUGGGGAGCGAACAGGAUUAGAUACCCUGGUAGUCCACGCCGUAAACGAGGAGUGCUAAGUGUUAGGGGGUUUCCGCCCCUUAGUGCUGCAGCUAACGCAUUAAGCACUCCGCCUGGGGAGUACGGCCGCAAGACUGAAACUCAAA
rnacentral:rRNA from 1 species